rnacentral:tRNA from 1 species
UCUAAUAUGGCAGANUAGUG